rnacentral:rRNA from 1 species
AGGACGAACGCUGGCGGCACGCCUAACACAUGCAAGUCGAACGGAGAUAUUUGGUUUACUGAGAUAUCUUAGUGGCGGACGGGUGAGUAACACGUGAGCAACCUGCCUCUGAGAGAGGGAUAGCUUCUGGAAACGGAUGGUAAUACCUCAUAAUAUAACGAAGCCGCAUGACUUUGUUAUCAAAGAUUUAUCACUCAGAGAUGGGCUCGCGUCUGAUUAGAUAGUUGGUGAGGUAACGGCUCACCAAGUCGACGAUCAGUAGCCGGACUGAGAGGUUGAACGGCCACAUUGGGACUGAGACACGGCCCAGACUCCUACGGGAGGCAGCAGUGGGGAAUAUUGCACAAUGGGGGAAACCCUGAUGCAGCGAUGCCGCGUGGAGGAAGAAGGUUUUCGGAUUGUAAACUCCUGUCUUAAAGGACGAUAAUGACGGUACUUUAGGAGGAAGCUCCGGCUAACUACGUGCCAGCCGCCGC